UAAUACAGAGGGUGCGAGCGUUAAUCGGAAUUACUGGGCGUAAAGGGCGCGUAGGCGGAUGAAUGGGUGUGAUGUGAAAGCCCUGGGCUUAACCUGGGAAGUGCAUCGCAAACUGUUUAUCUGGAGUAGAUGAGAGGGUGGCGGAAUUUCCGGUGUAGCGGUGAAAUGCGUAGAGAUCGGAAGGAACGUCGAUGGCGAAGGCAGCCACCUGGCAUCAUACUGACGCUGAGGCGCGAAAGCGUGGGGAGCGAACAGGAUUAGAUACCCUGGUAGUCCACGCUGUAAACGAUGAGGACUAAAUGUUGGUGGGGGAACCCAUCAGUAUUGAAGCUAACGCGAUAAGUCUUCCGCCUGGGAAGUACGGCCGCAAGGUUG
rnacentral:rRNA from 1 species